GACGAACGCUGGCGGCGUGCUUAACACAUGCAAGUCGAACGGAAAGGCCCUGCUUUUGUGGGGUGCUCGAGUGGCGAACGGGUGAGUAACACGUGAGUAACCUGCCCUUGACUUUGGGAUAACUUCAGGAAACUGGGGCUAAUACCGGAUAGGAGCUCCUGCUGCAUGGUGGGGGUUGGAAAGUUUCGGCGGUUGGGGAUGGACUCGCGGCUUAUCAGCUUGUUGGUGGGGUAGUGGCUUACCAAGGCUUUGACGGGUAGCCGGCCUGAGAGGGUGACCGGCCACAUUGGGACUGAGAUACGGCCCAGACUCCUACGGGGGGCAGCAGUGGGGAAUAUUGCACAAUGGGCGGAAGCCUGAUGCAGCAACGCCGCGUGCGGGAUGACGGCCUUCGGGUUGUAAACCGCUUUCGCCUGUGACGAAGCGUGAGUGACGGUAAUGGGUAAAGAAGCACCGGCGAACUACGU
rnacentral:rRNA from 1 species